rnacentral:rRNA from 1 species
AACAAACGCUGGCGGCGUGUCUUAAGCAUGCAAGUUGAGCGGCAAGGAGGAGAGAUCCUCCCUAGAGCGGCGGACUGGUGAGUAACGCGUGGGUAAUCUAUCGUAGGCAGUGGGAUAGUCACUAGAAAUAGUGGGUAAUACCGAAUACGUUCCAUGAGGGGAGUACUUAUGGAAGAAAGGGUGCUAUGGCACUGGCCUUAGGUGAGCUCGCGUCCCAUUAGCUAGUUGGUGAGGUAAAGGCCCACCAAGGCGAUGAUGGGUAGCCGGCCUGAGAGGGUGUACGGCCACACUGGGACUGAGAUACCGGCCCAGACCUCCUACGGGAGGCAGCAGCUAAGAAUAUUCCGCAAUGGACGAAAGUCUGACGGAGCGACGCCGCGUGGAUGAAGAAGGCCGAAAGGUUGUAAAGUUCUUUUGCUAGGGGAGAAUAAGCGAGGGAGGGAAUGCCCUCAUGAUGACAAGGACUAGCGAAUAAGCCCCGGCCAACUACGUG